CAGCAUGACUGUAGCAAUACAGUUGAUGGCGACCGGCAAACGGGUGCGGAACACGUACACAACCUUCCUUUUAGUGGAGAAUAGCCCAGGGAAACUUGGAUUAAUACUCCGUAACAUAUAGAAGUGGCAUCACUUUUAUAUUAUAGCAGCAAUGCGCUAGAAGAUGGGUGUGCGGCUGAUUAGAUAGUUGGCGGGGUAACGGCCCACCAAGUCGACGAUCAGUAACUGGUGUGAGAGCACGACCAGUCACACGGGCACUGAGACACGGGCCCGACUCCUACGGGAGGCAGCAGUAAGGAAUAUUGGUCAAUGGACGCAAGUCUGAACCAGCCAUGCCGCGUGGAGGAUGAAGGUCCUCUGGAUUGUAAACUUCUUUUAUUUGGGAAGAAACCCAUCUUUUCUAAGAUGGCUGACGGUACCAGAUGAAUAAGCACCGGCUAACUCCGUGCCAGCAGCCGCGGUAAUACGGAGGGUGCAAGCGUUAUCCGGAUUCACUGGGUUUAAAGGGUGCGUAGGUGGGCAAGUAAGUCAGUGGUGAAAUCUCCGGGCUUAACCCGGAAACUGCCAUUGAUACUAUUUGUCUUGAAUACUGUGGAGGUCAGCGGAAUAUGUCAUGUAGCGGUGAAAUGCUUAGAUAUGACAUAGAACACCAAUUGCGAAGGCAGCUGGCUACACAAAUAUUGACACUGAGGCACGAAAGCGUGGGGAUCAAACAGGAUUAGAUACCCUGGUAGUCCACGCCCUAAACUAUGGAUACUCGACAUUUGCGAUAAACUGCAAGUGUCUGAGCGAAAGCAUUAAGUAUCCCACCUGGGAAGUACGAUCGCAAGAUUGAAACUC
rnacentral:rRNA from 1 species